GAUGAAGAACGUAAGCGAAAUGCGAUACGUAAUGUGAAUUGCAGAAUUCAGUGAAUCAUCGAGUCUUUGAACGCACAUUGCGCCCCCUGGUAUUCCGGGGGGCAUGCCUGUCCGAGCGUCAUUGCUGCCCUCAAGCACGGCUUGUGUGUUGGGCCUCCGUCCUCCUCCCGGGGGACGGGCCCGAAAGGCAGCGGCGGCACCGCGUCCGGUCCUCGAGCGUAUGGGGCUUCGUCACCCGCUCUUGUAGGCCCGGCCGGCGCUUGCCGACACAUCAAUCUUUUUUCCAGGUUGACCUCGGAUCAGGUAGGGAUACCCGCUGAACUUAAGCAUAUCAAUAAGCGGAGG
rnacentral:misc_RNA from 1 species